rnacentral:snRNA from 1 species
GGAUAUGACGGCUAUCUCACUGCAAUGUCUGCCACCACAGUGGUCUCCAGGGUUGUUUUGGCUGAUCUGGCUGGCUGGUGUCUCCUUCCUCUCUCAGUUCUCCAUGUGAUUCUCUCCCAAAGCUGUGUGCUCCACAGAAAAGAAUGACCAUCUGCAAUAGAGGAGGACUGUUCCUCAUCCAAGAGUGUAGGCAUAGCUGCACUCCCUGCUGGAACCUUCAAACAGGCUCUUGAAGUUCUUUUUUUAAGGACACCGGUCAUAUUGGUUUAGCUUCACUAUAUCAUCUUAUGUUAAUGAUUAUA